GGCGCGCGAUACAGGGUGACAGCCCCGUACACAAAAAUGCACAUGCUGUGAGCUCGAUGAGUAGGGCGGGACACGUGGUAUCCUGUCUGAAUAUGGGGGGACCAUCCUCCAAGGCUAAAUACUCCUGACUGACCGAUAGUGAACCAGUACCGUGAGGGAAAGGCGAAAAGAACCCCGGCGAGGGGAGUGAAAAAGAACCUGAAACCGUGUACGUACAAGCAGUGGGAGCACGCUUAGGCGUGUGACUGCGUACCUUUUGUAUAAUGGGUCAGCGACUUAUAUUCUGUAGCAAGGUUAACCGAAUAGGGGAGCCGAAGGGAAACCGAGUCUUAACUGGGCGUUAAGUUGCAGGGUAUAGACCCGAAACCCGGUGAUCUAGCCAUGGGCAGGUUGAAGGUUGGGUAACACUAACUGGAGGACCGAACCGACUAAUGUUGAAAAAUUAGCGGAUGACUUGUGGCUGGGGGUGAAAGGCCAAUCAAACCGGGAGAUAGCUGGUUCUCCCCGAAAGCUAUUUAGGUAGCGCCUCGUGAAUUCAUCUCCGGGGGUAGAGCACUGUUUCGGCAAGGGGGUCAUCCCGACUUACCAACCCGAUGCAAACUGCGAAUACCGGAGAAUGUUAUCACGGGAGACACACGGCGGGUGCUAACGUCCGUCGUGAAGAGGGAAACAACCCAGACCGCCAGCUAAGGUCCCAAAGUCAUGGUUAAGUGGGAAACGAUGUGGGAAGGCCCAGACAGCCAGGAUGUUGGCUUAGAAGCAGCCAUCAUUUAAAGAAAGCGUAAUAGCUCACUGGUCGAGUCGGCCUGCGCGGAAGAUGUAACGGGGCUAAACCAUGCACCGAAGCUGCGGCAGCGACGCUGAUGCGUUGUUGGGUAGGGGAGCGUUCUGUAAGCCUGCGAAGGUGUGCUGUGAGGCAUGCUGGAGGUAUCAGAAGUGCGAAUGCUGACAUAAGUAACGAUAAAGCGGGUGAAAAGCCCGCUCGCCGGAAGACCAAGGGUUCCUGUCCAACGUUAAUCGGGGCAGGGUGAGUCGACCCCUAAGGCGAGGCCGAAAGGCGUAGUCGAUGGGAAACAGGUUAAUAUUCCUGUACUUGGUGUUACUGCGAAGGGGGGACGGAGAAGGCUAUGUUGGCCGGGCGACGGUUGUCCCGGUUUAAGCGUGUAGGCUGG
rnacentral:rRNA from 1 species